CCCUGAACAGAGGUUGGCAGUCCGUGGUUGAACACAAAGAAAGCUGGGACGUGGUUAUUUCUUCAACCACCUUCUUCAUUCUGAUCAUUUUUUCAUUUACCUGGUGAGGCGGCAGGGCGAGCCCCGAGGGGGGCUCUCGCUUCUGGUCCCAAGUGCCCGCUGGGCACGACCCGCUCCGGGGACAGCAGCAGGUGAGGAGUUUGACUGGGGCGGUAAACCUGUCAAAGCGUAAUGCAGGUGUCCUAAGGCGAGCUCAGCGAGGACGGAAACCUCCCACAGAGCAGAAGGGCAAAAGCUCACUUUCAGUAUGAAUACAGACUGUGAAAGCAAGGCCUCAUGAUCCUUCUGGCUUUGGGGUUUUAAGCAGGAGGUGUCAGAAAAGUUACUACAGAGAUAACUGGCUCGUGGCAGCCAAGCAUUCAUAGCGACGUCGCUUUUUCAUCCUUUGAUGUUGGCUCUUCCUAUCAUUGUUAAGCAGAAUUCACCAAGCGUCAGAUUGUUCACCCACUAAUAGGGAACGUCAGCUGGGAUUAUACCGUCAUGAGACAGGUUGGUU
rnacentral:ncRNA from 1 species